rnacentral:misc_RNA from 1 species
UGCGGCAGCCUUCCUCAUCGAUGCAGGGAGCAACAUCAAUGUACAGGCGGCCAACAAGGACUCACCCUGGCUCUUGGCGGGCGCGCUCGGCAGAACAGAGAUGCUGCGGCUCAUGAUCCCGAAGGGGCCAGACUUCUCUCUGCGCAAUCGCUUCGGAGGCAAUGCCUUGAUACCGGCCUGCGAACGCGCGCAUGUGGAGACCGUGAAGCUGCUUUUGACGACGAAGAUUGAUGUCAAUCACGUCAACAACCUCGGCUGGACAUGCCUCCUUGAGAUUGUGAUCCUCGGGGACGGUGGACCGCGACAUGUGGAAGUCGCAAAGCUUGUUCUCGCUGCCGGCGCUGAUCCGAAUAUUGCCGACAAGGA